GCAGAAUUUUAUCUCACAGAGCAGACUGAAUUCGAGAGGCUAAAGGACGGUAGCUGGUGGAGGAAUCCUGAAGGUGUUGCGCGAAGUCUAAUACGAGGUGGAGCUUUAUGAGCCAAGAGGAGUCCAAAGCGAGGUAGAGCUCCAGGUGAAGGUGGAUCGGACACAAGAUGUGAGACUCGAGAGGAUGAGAGGCAAUAUCGUAAGGUGAGAUUCCUAUUACCGCAGGA
rnacentral:lncRNA from 1 species